rnacentral:rRNA from 1 species
UACAGGCUUAACACAUGCAAGUCGAGGGGCAGCAUUUUAGUUUGCUUGCAAACUGAAGAUGGCGACCGGCGCACGGGUGAGUAACACGUAUCCAACCUGCCGAUAACUCCGGAAUAGCCUUUCGAAAGAAAGAUUAAUACCGGAUAGCAUACGAAUAUCGCAUGAUAUUUUUAUUAAAGAAUUUCGGUUAUCGAUGGGGAUGCGUUCCAUUAGUUUGUUGGCGGGGUAACGGCCCACCAAGACAACGAUGGAUAGGGGUUCUGAGAGGAAGGUCCCCCACAUUGGAACUGAGACACGGUCCAAACUCCUACGGGAGGCAGCAGUGAGGAAUAUUGGUCAAUGGGCGAGAGCCUGAACCAGCCAAGUAGCGUGAAGGAUGAAGGCUCUAUGGGUCGUAAACUUCUUUUAUAUGGGAAUAAAGUUUUCCACGUGUGGAAUUUUGUAUGUACCAUAUGAAUAAGGAUCGGCUAACUCCGUGCCAGCAGCCGCGGUAAUACGGAGGAUCCGAGCGUUAUCCGGAUUUAUUGGGUUUAAAGGGAGCGUAGGUGGAUUGUUAAGUCAGUUGUGAAAGUUUGCGGCUCAACCGUAAAAUUGCAGUUGAAACUGGCAGUCUUGAGUACAGUAGAGGUGGGCGGAAUUCGUGGUGUAGCGGUGAAAUGCUUAGAUAUCACGAAGAACUCCGAUUGCGAAGGCAGCUCACUAGACUGUCACUGACACUGAUGCUCGAAAGUGUGGGUAUCAAACAGGAUUAGAUACCCUGGUAGUCCACACAGUAAACGAUGAAUACUCGCUGUUUGCGAUAUACAGUAAGCGGCCAAGCGAAAGCAUUAAGUAUUCCACCUGGGGAGUACGCCGGCAACGGUGAAACUCAAAGGAAUUGACGGGGGCCCGCACAAGCGGAGGAACAUGUGGUUUAAUUCGAUGAUACGCGAGGAACCUUACCCGGGCUUAAAUUGCAACAGAAUAUAUUGGAAACAGUAUAGCCGUAAGGCUGUUGUGAAGGUGCUGCAUGGUUGUCGUCAGCUCGUGCCGUGAGGUGUCGGCUUAAGUGCCAUAACAAGCGCAACCCUUAUCUUUAGUUACUAACAGGUGAUGCUGAGGACUCUAGAGAGACUGCCGUCGUAAGAUGUGAGGAAGGUGGGGGUGACGUCAAAUCAGCACGGCCCUUACGUCCGGGGCUACACACGUGUUACAAUGGGGGGUACAGAAGGCGGCUACCUGGUGACAGGAUGCUAAUCCCAAAAACCUCUCUCAGUUCGGAUCGAAGUCUGCAACCCGACUUCGUGAAGCUGGAUUCGCUAGUAAUCGCGCAUCAGCCAUGGCGCGGUGAAUACGUUCCCGGGCCUUGUACACACCGCCCGUCAAGCCAUGAAAGCCGGGGGUACCUGAAGUACGUAACCGCAAGGAGCGUCCUAGGGUAAAACUGGUAAUUGGGGCUAAGUCAUA